AUUGAACGCUGGCGGCAGGCCCAACACAUGCAAGUCGAACGGUAACAGGAAGCAGCUUGCUGCUUUGCUGACGAGUGGCGGACGGGUGAGUAAUGUCUGGGAAACUGCCUGAUGGAGGGGGAUAACUACUGGAAACGGUAGCUAAUACCGCAUAACGUCGCAAGACCAAAGAGGGGGACCUUCGGGCCUCUUGCCAUCGGAUGUGCCCAGAUGGGAUUAGCUAGUAGGUGGGGUAACGGCUCACCUAGGCGACGAUCCCUAGCUGGUCUGAGAGGAUGACCAGCCACACUGGAACUGAGACACGGUCCAGACUCCUACGGGGGGCAGCAGUGGUGAAUAUUGCACAAUGGGCGCAAGCCUGAUGCAGCCAUGCCGCGUGUAUGAAGAAGGCCUUCGGGUUGUAAAGUACUUUCAGCGGGGAGGAAGGGAGUAAAGUUAAUACCUUUGCUCAUUGACGUUACCCGCAGAAGAAGCACCGGCUAACUCCGUG
rnacentral:rRNA from 1 species